AUUGCUUCUCGGCCUUUUGGCUAAGAUCAAGUGUAGUAUCUGUUCUUAUUAGUUUAAUAUCUGAUACAUCCUCUAUCCGAGGACAAAGUAUUAAAUGGAUUUUUGGAUCUGGGAGUCGGAAGAGGAGCUUGCUCCAUUCGCUCCUCGCAUCAACCCGAUAUUGCAGUACUUCCGGGGGAAAAAAAAAAGAU